rnacentral:rRNA from 1 species
UACGUAGGGGGGCAAGCGUUGUCCGGAAUCAUUGGGCGUAAAGAGCGUGUAGGCGGUCCGGUAAGUCGGUUGUGAAAGUCCAGGGCUCAACCCUGGGAUGCCGACCGAUACUGUCGGACUAGAGUUCGGAAGAGGCGAGUGGAAUUCCCGGUGUAGCGGUGAAAUGCGCAGAUAUCAGGAGGAACACCAAUGGCGAAGGCAGCACUCUGGGACGUGACUGACGCUGAGACGCGAAAGCGUGGGGAGCAAACAGG